GGGAGAGUGGCUGAGUGGUUAAAGGCGACAGAUUGUAAAUCUGUUGAAUUCGUUCUACGUAGGUUCGAAUCCUGCCUGUCCCA
rnacentral:tRNA from 1 species